GCUUGGGUAGCUCAGUUGGUAGAGCACUUGCCCCAGAAAGGCAGAGGUCCCGAGUUCGAGUCUCGGUCCGGCACGCA
rnacentral:tRNA from 1 species